rnacentral:rRNA from 1 species
UCCUACGGGAGGCAGCAGUGAGGAAUAUUGGUCAAUGGGCGAAAGCCUGAACCAGCCAUGCCGCGUGCAGGAAGACUGCCCUAUGGGUUGUAAACUGCUUUUAUACAGGAAGAAACACUCGGACGUGUCCGAGCUUGACGGUACUGUAUGAAUAAGCACCGGCUAACUCCGUGCCAGCAGCCGCGGUAAUA